rnacentral:rRNA from 1 species
UACAGAGGUCUCAAGCGUUGUUCGGAUUCAUUGGGCGUAAAGGGUGCGUAGGCGGCGCGGUAAGUCGGGUGUGAAAUCUCGGAGCUUAACUCCGAAACUGCAUUCGAUACUGCCGUGCUUGAGGACUGGAGAGGAGACUGGAAUUUACGGUGUAGCGGUGAAAUGCGUAGAUAUCGUAAGGAAGACCAGUGGCGAAGGCGGUUCUCUGGGACGGUACUGACGCUGAGACGCGAAAGCGUGGGGAGCGAACGGG